UUACGAUUGAGUAGCAGGUCCAUCAC
rnacentral:sRNA from 1 species